rnacentral:tRNA from 1 species
GCCUCUGUGGCGCAAUUGGCUAGCGCGUUCGGCUGUUAACCGGAAGGCUGGUGGUUCGGUCCCACCCAGGGGCG